GCUGGGCGUGGUGGCGGGCGCCUGUAAUCCCAGCUACUUGGGAGGCUGAGGCAGGAGAAUUGCUUGAACCCGGGAGGCAGAGUUUGCAGUGAGCCAAGAUCGUGCCAUUGCACUCCAGCCUGGGCAACAGAGCGAGACUCUGUCUCAA
rnacentral:SRP_RNA from 1 species